AAAACGACCCUGGCAACGGAUAUCUCGGCCUUCGCAUCGAUGAAGAACGUCAGCGAAAUGCGAUACUUGGUGUGAAUUCGCAGAAUCCCGUGAACCACUCGAGUCUUUGAACGCAGUUGCGCCCCCAAGCCUUCUGGCCGAGGGCACGUCUGCCUGGGGUGUCACAA
rnacentral:rRNA from 1 species